CUCUACUUCAGCUUGUUCAAAUAUUGUGGUUAAUUGAUUUUUUUUGUUGAAUUUGUGAAGUAGAUGAUUUUCCGAUUGAAUCAGCUAGGGCAAUGUUUAUGCAUAUUGUGAUGGAUUAUUUUAUUGACGAUCAUGGGAUUGAAGUGGUAGAUUCAGAUGUUGAUUAAGGUGAUCAAGAUAAAUUGAACAAGAGGAGGACGAGAGAGAUUCGGUAUGAAUGAGACCGGAAUUUAUGCUUGCCUUUGAUGUAUGUAGCUAAUAUGUAUGAGAGUUUGGUUAAUGAAGUUAAUAUUAGGCUUGCUUCGUUGAAUGGUAUUCACGAUAAGUUUAUCGGUGUUGCUCUUGAAGCUGCGAUUGGAUUGCAUAGAAGACUUGCGAAGAAAUUUCCUAAAAAAGGACCAUGUACAUAUAAGAGAAGAGAAUUGGCAACUUCAACUGAGACGAGGACUAGGUUUCCAGAACUAGUUAUACAAGAAGAGAAGCGCGUUCGCUUUGUGGUAGUUAAUGGAUUGAAACCCCAACCACCACCAAAAAAAGUUAAAGGAUUGAUAAUUGUUGAAAGACUGAAAAUUGAUGACGCUGGGUGGUGAGUUGCGUGUUGUAGUGUUUAUUUUUUAUUUGAUGGAUGUAGCCGACCCCACUUAGUGGGAUAAGGCUUGGUUGUUGUUGUACUUCAAUAUUAUUUUAGUUGUGUUGGCCUGUUUUGAUUGGCAAGAUUUUUCCUUUGUUUAUUAAUAUGUUUUCAUUUUAGCUGAAGAUCUGCUAUGGCUGCUAGGAUAUAUGCUUAUAGGAUGAAUUAUUUGCAGUGACGAUUAGUCUAUUUUCUUCCUCUUUAUUAUAUUUGGAUUUUGAGUCUUUUUGUGUCUGGAUUUCUUUGUUUGUAGAUAUUGAAAAUUGGUACUGUGCUGUUUUCACUGUUACUUUUUCCUAUACCAGAAUGUGUGACCUAAGAAAUAGUGCUUGUAUUUUAUCUGUAGUUCCGUGGUAUACCAGAAUUCUAUUAUGUCAUUUUUUUAAUGAAAUUACACGCGACAGCUCUCUGAUGCUAUGCUUGCAUGUUCCCUUUUGUCACAUUUUAAUGAAGGUUAGUUUAUUCUCUAGCUACUACUAAUGGUGUAAUAACAAAAUCGGUUAUGAUGAGAUAGAGGUUGAGCAUCGAUUUCAGCUAAUGCUUACAAGGAGUACAGCCUUGGUCUCACUUGUUUGUUUUUGUUUUUAGGUUUAAAAGAUUGAUAUGUCGGAAUGAAGUAGCAAUCUCAGCUAACGAUUACAAAUUCUACUCUCCAAGACACAGGUAUAGCAGGUAUAGGCGUGGUGCAUCAAUUUCACUUCCAAAUAUCCCACAUAUCCCUUUAAGCAUGGUGUUGCCUCAUUUUGGAAAAUGAAGUGCUGCUUUCAAGAUGCUCAAUACUUAUCUUGGAGCAGACAAUUCUACGACAUUGACUACUACUCAAGGAUAUCGCUCAUAUUUGAAACUCUCAAUCCUUUGUCAGCGAUGGAUGUCGAUGGAAUGAGAGAUGGUUGCUUGCUGGUGGUUGAUGAUCUGUUACUGGUUGAGUAAAAGGAAUGGAAUACAAAAAUUCUGCGGCAUUCUGUUAUUUCAAUCAGUGCAGCAUGACAGACACAUAUGGAAGGUGGAAACCAUGGGAAUUAUUCAAUGCAAAGUGCUUAUAAGUUGUGCAUCAAUGAGUUGAUUAAUGUCGGUCAUUUGAAAAUGAAAGGUGUGGUAGGGAAUUGGGAUUGCAUUUGGUGUUUGAAAGUUCCAUCGAAAGUGAAGAAUUUAAUUUGGGGCCAGGGAGUAUGACCUGUUGCAAAAUGGUGAUUUGUGAAAUGAAAUAUUGGGUAUUUUACAGCAGUUAAGAACAAAUGUAAAGCAGAUGAGUUUUUACUGCAUUAUGAUAUUUUAUCUCCGACAUAGUGUCUCUUUGCGGUUAUUAUUUGGAGUAUUCGGAAAAGUCGUGAUAUCCGCAUCUAGGAGAAUGUUUGUUAACAACAGCAGCAUAUUUUUUGGCGCGCUGAGUAGUUAUUUCAAAGCUGGUGCAGGUGCAGCGGUACAUCAGUGCAGGUUCGACAGCAGUGCAGGGAAAAAAACCAGAUACGCCAAGUUUGGACGCUUUGUGCUUGCUAGAACGGAGUGUCACUCUUCCAUUUGUUUCAUUAAUGAAGGUGAAGCUUGUGGCCUUCUUUCCGCUGUCUGGUAGGUGCACCAUUUGCAGUUAGAUGGAGCAACUUUUGAGCUUGACCCUGAGCGAAUGGUAGACAACCUUCAAUCUAUUAAGGAAGAUGUCUCGAGUUUAGUGCUAUUAUUUCUUAUUGUAGACAUUUGUCCUCUUUUUACCUCUAACUGUCGAGUUUACCACGAGACAGGCAAACGGAGUAGUUAUUUUGUUUUUUUGUUACAAAAGCGGUCACAUCUUUAGCCUCACGAUUUUCAUGUCCAGCUUGCCUCGGGACGUGAAAUUUCCAGUGCAAAAGCUAAUCCAAACACAUACUACAUCUUACCGACUACUAAUAUCUCUAAUAAUUAUAAAAAUAAAAAAUAAAAAACAUUCUGAUAAUUAAGAGUUCAUAUGUGAUAUAACUAAAGUUUUGUUUAAACACAUACUAUUACCGAUUAAAAGUAUACCAGAAGGCUACACAUUCCAAAAUUUAUGUACUAACAUAUUAUAUAUUCUCUCAAUAACAAUGAGAACUUGAGGGAUUCUUAGUUCUGCCAUUUUUACUUUUUAAAAUCCAUUAGACUAAUAACUCUAUCUAAAAUUUUUGUGAUGUUUCUUUCAAAUCUAAAAUUGUGUUUAUGUGUAAAGAUAUGUUGGGAUGCAUAGUAUUUAAUUUGGUAGCAUUUGGAUCACAUUUGAUUGGUCAAAUAAUAUUCUGAGAUCACCUACUUCUCAUUUGCCACAGUUCAUACAUCAAUGAGCUUCUUUUAAUACUUCAGCUUAAUCAUAUUGAUCACUGCUUCUAUUUGCUACUUCUGGUAAUUUUUAAAUCAGUGUAGUUUAUUUGCUAAUUAUGUUUGUUUCCAAUCCCAUUUUGAUUAAGUAUGUGUCGUGGUGACUGCAUUUGUGUUUUUCAGUUGGCGUUCUUUGUGUUUAGUGGUCAAGUGUUUAGUGGUGAUAUAGAGCACAAACAAGAUGGGAUUGAAUUCAACCAGGACGGGACAGAUGCUGAUCAAGUAAAUGAUGAUGUUUCCUUGAUUGAAUUGUUAUCAAAUAACUAAACAUAUUAGAAGUCUGAAAAAGCAAUCUGUUCAGGUAAAACUUAUUCAAAAGACAAUGGAAUAGAAAGUUGUCUGUGGUUAUAAGUGAGACGAAAGCUUUAAGGUUGUGACUGGUGCGGUUUUCGGACAACAGACUGAUGUGGUUCAACUGUGUUGGCAGUGGUGAUGUGCUGCGGUUUGCUACCUAUGGUUUUCCUUUUUUAGCUUUGGGAGGGACUGUUGCAUGGGACUUUGGUUUUGUUAGGGACAUGUAUGGAAAUGCACUUAUGCGUUUGUUGAAAAGCCUUGAAUUGCACUAUGAAAUUGGAGGGGAUUGGAAACACUACUGCACACUUCGACGGCUGUCUCGAGGGACUGCAAUCAAAAUUGGUGCUCCAGUAGUUGGGAGAAAUUCUGUUUUAUUUAUAACAUUGAUAGUGUAGUGUGGUCUUUUGUUAUAUGGAGUGUACCAGGUCCUAUGUGUAUGUCUUGAACUGGGAUUUGUCUUUUUGUAUUACUAUUGAUUUUAAUGAAUGGUUCAUGGAGACUUGGUUAUUUAUUUUUA